CUUCUCUUUUUCAUCACUUUUAGUAAUGUUAUAGAUCCAUACUUCGGCCUCGAUUCAAACAACCUUGUCACGACCGAAUUAAUCACAUUCGAGCUAUUGGAGAUAGCGUUUGCUGAGCUAAAGCACAGAUAUGGUGAUUAUCCAAUAUGACCUGUCGAGUCAGCAGCAGUUUUUAUUUUUCAGUCUAAUCUCGUUUCAUCUCAAAAAAUGAUCUAUUUUAUUUUGCCGACCUACUUCAACAAAUAAAAAGAUCAAUAUCUGCUCGAUAAAUUUCAGUUUCUCGAUCUGGAUGACCUACUAAAUCGGCUAUGACCGACCUAUUCUUUUACCAACAAAUCCGUUCUUCCUCUCAAUUGAGAAAAUCUAGAUAAAAUAAAAUUUCUUCGUGAUUGAAUCUCCCGUAAAAGAAAAGUCCUUCGAAUUUAUCCGUACGAUAAAUCUGAAAAUCGUCAGGAUUCUGAGACGGAUAUAUCUCAAACUCUUUUUCUAUAAAUUAAAGAUUUCAGAAUUUUUCAAAAUACACAAUCGACUUAUUGCUCUAUCUUCUUCUUGUUCUCCAAUCUCUUGAUUUGAGCAUCGGAGAAUUUAUACUGAAGAGAGUUAUCUUGAUGUGAAUUUAUUUUGCAGAUAUCCGAACAAAGAUCCAGCGAUGGUUCAACCAUAGCUAUAUCCACCUCGACAUCUGCCCCCUGACGAAA
rnacentral:lncRNA from 1 species